GAGGGCGGUUCCCGUGUCCCGUGGCUGAGGCGGAGCCCCGCGUGCUUGCGGCUGUCCGCCUGGCCGGCCGCCUUGCCGGGUGGCCUCUACCUCUGCCACCUGCGUGGGGCUCCGCGCGGGAGACCGAGAGGCCACGCCAUGGUAACGGUGUGGAAGGCUGGACAACAACUCAUGGUGUAGUCCAGGCCAGCCUCAAAGUCAUGACAACCUACCUGCCUAGUCUUCUGAGGACUGCCAUCACAGACAUGCACAAACACGUCUGGCUAUUAAUUCAGCUCUUUAUGAGAGGAGUUCAGGUAUCCCAGGCUGUCUCAACCUUCCUUCAAGAAAUAUAUGUGUGGUCAUUAAGGAGGCAGUGACCUUUGAGGACAUGGCUGUGAGCUUCACCAUGGAGGAGUGGGAUUUCCUGAGUGCGUCACAAAAAAAAAGCUCUACAGAGAUGUGAUGCGGGAGACCGUUAGGAACAUGGCUGCUAUGGGAAUAGCUUUGGAUAACCAAGAAGUGGAAGAAGACUACAAAGCUUACUGGAGAAAUCUAAGAAAUGAAGAGGUAGACAAAUGCUAUCAAUAUAAAGCUUGUAAUCAAUACAGAGAAAUAUUCUUUUGGACUCAAGAUGCUAAUUUGGACAUGAAAAAAGCUGAUUUAAAUCCAGCUGAAAACUUUGCCUGUAAAAAAUUUCUGAGUGGGCAUUUGUCACUAAACGUGCCCAUCAUAGCUCACACUGCACUGAAGCCAUAUGAAUAUUUGAGAUCUGAAGAGAAGCUGUAUAAAUGCAAUGAAAAUGGAAGAACCUGCAGUAAUUUCCAGUCCUCUCAGAAGCAUACAUGGAAAAAGUCCAUAGAGAAACCUUAUAAAUGUGGUCAACAUAGGAAAUCCUACCCUCAUCUUAGCGAGAGAAUUCACCUUGGAGAGAAGACCUUUGUAUGUAAGAAAACUUUAGUAGGCUCCAGCACAUAUAAUGCUCAGAUCCAUGAAAGAAAUCACAGAGGGAAGAGACCCUAUGUAUGUAAGCAAUGUGGGCAAACGUUCAGUAAACACAAUCAUCGCCAGGUGCAUGAAAAAACUCACGCUGGUGAGAAGCCCUUUACAUGUAAGCAGUGUGAUAAAGCUUUCAGCACAUACCAUGUUUGUACAAGACAUGAAGCAAGUCAUACAGGAGAGAAACCCUAUAUAUGUAAAUAAUGUGGGAAGGCAUUCAGUACACACAGUUAUAGUCAAGUACAUGAAAGGACUCACACCGAGGAGAAACCCUAUGUGUGUAAGCAAUGUUGGAAAGCUUUCAGUACACAUAGUCACUGCCAAGUACGUGAAAGAACUCACACUGGGGAGAAGCCCUAUGUAUGCAAGCAGUAUGGGAAAGCUUUUGGUACACUUUGUGAUUGUCAAGUCCAUAAAAGAAGUCACACUGGAGAGAAACCCUAUGUAUGUCAACAGUGUGGGAAAGCAUUCAGUACACACAGUUAUUGUCAAAUACAUGGAAGGACACACACUGGGGAGAAGCCUUAUGUGUGUAAGCAGUGUGGGAAAGCAUUCAAUACACGCAGUCAUUGCAAGAUACAUGAAAGAACUCACAGUGGGGAGAAACCCUGUAUGUGUAAGCAAUGUGGGAAAGCUUUCAGCACACGCCGUUAUUGUAAAAUACACGAAAGAACUCAUACUGAGGAGGCACACUAUGUAUGUAAGCAUUGUGCAAAAGUUUCCGCACACAUUGUGAUUGUCAAAGACAUGAAAGAAUUCACACAGGGGAGAAACCCUAUGUAUGCAAGUAAUGUGGGAAAGCAUUCAGAACAUGCAAUAAUUGUCAAGUGCAUGAAAGAACUCAUACUGGGGAAAACCCUAUGUGUGUAAGCAAUGUGGGAAAGCUUUCAGCACACAUAGUCAUUAUCAAAGACAUGAAAGAAUUCACACUGGGGAGAAGCCCUUUGUAUGUAAACAGUGUGGGAAAGCUUUUAGCACACGUGGUGCUUAUCAAAAACAUGAAAGAACUCACACUGGUGAGAAACCCUAUGUGUGUAAGUAAUGUGGGAAAGCAUUCAGUACACGUACUUAUUGUCAAAUACACAAAAGCAGUCACACUGGGGAGAAACUCUAUGUACGUAAGCAAUGUGGAAAAGGAAAAGUAAGUUCUCACUUUGUAGACAUAAAAGAACUCACACUAGGGAGAAACCCUAUGUGUGUAAGCAGUGUGGGAAAGCUUUUAGUACACAUGGUGAUUGUCAAAAACAUGAAAACACUCAUACUGGGGACGAACUUUAUGUAGGUAAGUAAUGUGGGAAAGCUUUUGGCACUCAAUAAAUGGCUUACCCUGACAGCACAUGUCUUUUGCUUUCCUGGCCUUUUUGUAGGUACAUACUUGACAUCUCAGUGACCUUGCCAUUUUGUCAGGAGAUCCUUAUUAUACUGUGUGUAGUUAACAGAAACAAAAUAUCAAUAAAAUUACUAAAUUCUUAA